rnacentral:rRNA from 1 species
AGAGUUUGAUUAUGGCUCAGAUUGAACGCUGGCGGAAUGCUUUACACAUGCAAGUCGAGCGGCAGCGCGGGGGCAACCCUGGCGGCGAGCGGCGAACGGGUGAGUAAUGCGUCGGAACGUACCGAGUAAUGGGGGAUAACGCAGCGAAAGCUGUGCUAAUACCGCAUACGCCCUGAGGGGGAAAGUGGGGGAUCGCAAGACCUCACGUUAUUCGAGCGGCCGACGUCUGAUUAGCUAGUUGGUGGGGUAAAGGCUCACCAAGGCGACGAUCAGUAGCGGGUCUGAGAGGAUGAUCCGUCACACUGGAACUGAGACACGGUCCAGACUCCUACGGGAGGCAGCAGUGGGGAAUUUUGGACAAUGGGGGCAACCCUGAUCCAGCCAUUCCGCGUGAGUGAAGAAGGCCUUCGGGUUGUAAAGCUCUUUCAGCCGGAACGAAACGGUACGCACUAAUAUUGUGUGCUAAUGACGGUACCGGCAGAAGAAGCACCGGCUAACUACGUGCCAGCAGCCGCGGUAAUACGUAGGGUGCGAGCGUUAAUCGGAAUUACUGGGCGUAAAGCGUGCGCAGGCGGAUUGUUAAGCAAGAUGUGAAAUCCCCGGGCUUAACCUGGGAAUGGCAUUUUGAACUGGCAGUCUAGAGUGUGUCAGAGGGGGGUGGAAUUCCACGUGUAGCAGUGAAAUGCGUAGAUAUGUGGAGGAACACCAAUGGCGAAGGCAGCCCCCUGGGAUAACACUGACGCUCAUGUACGAAAGCGUGGGUAGCAAACAGGAUUAGAUACCCUGGUAGUCCACGCCCUAAACGAUGUCAACUGGUUGUUGGGGGAGUGAAAUCCCUUAGUAACGAAGCUAACGCGUGAAGUUGACCGCCUGGGGAGUACGGUCGCAAGAUUAAAACUCAAA